GGACGAACGCUGGCGGCGUGCUUAACACAUGCAAGUCGAACGAUGAACCUCGAAAUGAUUUCUUCGGAAAGAUUUUUGAGAGGAUUAGUGGCGAACGGGUGAGUAACGCGUGAGCAACCUGCCUUAGACAAGGGGAUAGCCUCGGGAAACCGUGAUUAAUACCCUAUGAGACUCCACUUACGAGUGUAAGAGAAGUUAAAGCUAUUGCGGUCUAAGAUGGGCUCGCGUCUGAUUAGCUAGUUGGUGAGAUAAAAGCCCACCAAGGCGACGAUCAGUAACCGGCUUGAGAGAGUGAACGGUCACAUUGGAACUGAGACACGGUCCAAACUCCUACGGGAGGCAGCAGUGGGGAAUAUUGCACAAUGGGGGCAACCCUGAUGCAGCGACGCCGCGUGAGCGAUGAAGGAAUUCGUUUCGUAAAGCUCUGUCCUUGGAGAAGAUAAUGACGGUAACCAAGGAGGAAGCACCGGCUAAAUACGUG
rnacentral:rRNA from 1 species